UUGGAGGGCAAGUCUGGUGCCAGCAGCCGCGGUAAUUCCAGCUCCAAUAGCGUAUAUUAAAGUCGUUGCAGUUAAAAAGCUCGUAGUUGAAUUUCGGGAUCAAAUAAUCGGUCGUGCCUCCGGUACGUACUGGUUUUAUUGGUUCCUCCCUUCUGACGAACCAUGAUGUCAUUAAUUUGAUGCGGUGGAGAAUCAGGACUGUUACCUUGAAAAAAUUAGAGUGUUUAAAGCAGGCUAACGCUUGAAUACAUUAGCAUGGAAUAAUGAAAUAGGACGUUCGACCCUAUUUUGUUGGUUUCUAGGAUCGAUGUAAUGAUUAAUAGGGAUAGUUGGGGGCAUUAGUAUUCAAUUGUCAGAGGUGAAAUUCUUGGAUUUAUUGAAGGCUAACUACUGCGAAAGCAUUUGCCAAGGAUGUUUUCAUUAAUCAAGAACGAAAGUUAGGGGAUCGAAGACGAUCAGAUACCGUCGUAGUCUUAACCAUAAACUAUGCCGACUAGGGAUCGGAUGAUGUUAAUUUUUUAAUGACUCAUUCGGCGCCUUACGGGAAAC
rnacentral:rRNA from 1 species